ensembl:lncRNA
AUGUUUAUUUGUCUUUUAGACCUACUGAGCCAGCUGGAGGAAAAGAACAAAGAAUUGCAGUUUAAAACAGAACAACUGGAAAAGAACAGUCACAGUUCUCAACGUAUUCUUGAGAUUAUUGAACUGCAGACCCAGAUCUGGGAGUUAGAGAAAACAAAUCACAGUCAGGAGACUUUAACCCAAAUCACUGGUACAGUAUAAUCUAAACUACUCAAGAUUUUGAAAUGUUCAGACAGUUUUGUAUUUUUACUUUAACUGAAUCCCUUGCGUAUCUUUUUACCAUAGAAUACUUACCUUCUUCCUUUCCCAAAAGCCUGGUGCCCGCAAAUCAUUUUACUAUUGUUCUGUCUAGUUCUACAGAGACAACUGGAUGCCAAGAUCAAUGAACUGGAGAGCAACUCCAAAGGGAGUGAUGACUCCAAAAUAGGUCAGUUUGUUUGGGUUGGAUUACUGAUACUGACUCACCUGGGGAAAAAACAUCUGUAGGGCAAACAGACGCCCACUCACACAAGAUAGCUCACAGAGCAUGCUGACAAUAUCAGAGGAGAAUUUCUUCCAAAAUGCAUUGCUAAGUUAUCUCUCUUGGCUUUUCAGUGGUGAUGAUGAUCACAUUGGAGAAUGAGAUUACAGAGCUACAGAAAAGGAUCUUGGAGCUCACUGAGGAAUCCAAAACUAAAAUGACUGGUGACUAAAUAGUUGUUAUUUUAUAGACAUAAUUACCCCCCCCCCCCUCCCCGAGUUGGACAUUGAGUUGAACUGAUCUCUGAUAAAGCUAAAUUGCUUUUUUUUUUAAUAGAUCUACAGAGGCAACUGAAGGAGAUGAACCAGCAACUAAUUGACAAGAUAUUACAACAGCCUGACAACAACACUAACACUGAACUAAGUAAGUGGACAAGUGUCUCUCCAUAAUGAUCCUAGACUGAGAUAUGCUGCAAAGGAUCUAGUGUCUCUGCAUGUCCUACUAACUGCUCUGUCUUGAUUAUUUCAGCUGAGGAGAUUUUAGCGUUGCAGAAUGCAAUAAAUAACCUAUACAUACAAAUAUCAAACCUACAAAAGAAGACCAAUGCCCAAACAUGCAGGUACAUGCCAACCCUACUUGUAAUUGUUAUUGGUUGCACCACUGACGUGAACCCUUUUGCACUAAAUGUUGCAGGAUUGGAAGAAUGUCAAAAGCAUUGUGCGUUUUUAUUAGCGCUGCAGAAGAAUUAAACAACAAGGAAAAAAACAAGAAGCUUGGGAAGAAACAACUGAAGGGGGAGGACGAGACUAGCGUACAGCUGAGUGAGUGAAGCAGCAAAAUUUGAUAUUUUUUAUCAUAUCUAACGCCAGAAAAUACAAAAGCUAUUUUCAACUAUUUAUGAAAUAUGAUUUGAAGAAGGGAUACAGACUGAAUUAAUCCCACCCUGUUUACUUUGUUCAUUCUUUCUCUCUGACCAGUUAUGAAGAUAUUCUAAUAAUAGGGAACAGAUUUACAGAUACAAACAACACAGCAGAUGCAGACAACAGCAGCCCGAUCACUGGUGAGAUCUUUAUUGCUAUUAUCUCCAAUGUUCCUGUGAUUGCACCCUCCUUUGAAUGCACCUCCUGUGAAUACACCCUCCGUGUGAAUACACCCCUC